rnacentral:tRNA from 1 species
UCUUCCGUGGCGCAAUUGGCUAGCGCGUUCGACUGUUAAUCGAGAGGUUCCUGGUUCGACCCCAGGCGGAAGAG